rnacentral:rRNA from 1 species
CCUACGGGAGGCAGCAGUGAGGAAUUUUGGACAMUGGGGGAAACCCUGAUCCAGCGACGCCGCGUGUGGGAUGAAUGGGUUAUGCCCUGUAAACCACUGUCAGCAGAGAAGAAAAGGCUCCUUUGGAGCCCGGGACUGUAUCUGCAGAGGAAGGACCGGCUAACUACGUGCCAGCAGCCGCGGUAAUACGUAGGGUCCAAGCGUUAUCCGGAAUUACUGGGUAUAAAGGGUGCGUAGGCGGCCUUGUGCGUCGAAGGUUAAAGGCCAUGGCUCAACCAUGGAAAUGCCCUCGAUACGGCAAGGCUUGAGUAUGAGAGAGGAAGAUGGAAUUCCUGGUGUAGCAGUGAAAUGCGUAGAUAUCNGGAGGAACACCGGUGGCGAAGGCGGUCUUCUGGCUCAUUACUGACGCUGAGGCACGAAAGUGUGGGGAGCGAACAGGAUUAGAUACCCUGGUAGUCCACACCGUAAACGAUGUAUGCUUGGUGUUAGAACAAAUUGUUGUUCUAGUGCCGSAGAUAAUUCGUUAAGCAUACCACCUGG